rnacentral:tRNA from 1 species
CGGGUAAUGGAGAAGUUUGGUCGUUCUCGCCUGACUUGGACUCAGGAGAUCGCAGGUUCAAAUCCUGCUUACCCGA